ACUAAACAACAGUCUUGGUUUCCUUGACUGACGUAUUAGAUUAUUAUUAACAUAUGGUUUUGUUCUCAUCCUGGUUUCACAGUGUUAACUGUAUACCUACAAAUUAGACAUACAAAGUCAUUCUGUUCUUCAAGCUAAAUGGAAAUUAAAUUCAUAUCAACUUUUUAUUUUAUAGUUUUUACACUUACUGAGAAUGUAGAUGGAAAUUGUGUAUACAGGAAACGAGAAACCUUAGGUAGUGCUGUAAGUACCAUAGAAAAAAGUUAGAAAAAAAUAAUUUAAGAAAUUAAUUAAAAAUACAUGUUCCUAUAGACAGAUAGACAUUUGUAAUCCCUCUUCCUUAAGUUAAGAUGAAUAAGGUAUGUUUUAAACUGAAUAGAAAUGUCUGAAUAUGUUGGAAUAAUUAUACCCUCUUGUUAAAGUUGAUCAAAGUUGUGUUUAUGAGAAUGGUGCAUUAUGAUAGACAUGUUUUAUUAUUUUAUUGAAAUUAUUGUUUGUUCUCUCACUUUUUUACACAAUUUUUUAACAAAGAGCCAUAAUAUACCUAUUUCCUUUGAAUUAAGACUUUUCCUUAAUUAUUGAAAGCUAUAAAUUAUGCAUCUACCAUUUAAAGCAAGCUAUUUUACAAUUUAUUAUACAUGUAACUUCAAGAUAUCUAUUUUACUUUAUAAGAUAUCUAGUAUAGUUUACAAAAUAUCUCAUAUAAAUUGUUAAAAGAUAUCUUAUAGUUAUAUACAGAUUUUUUGUGUUAUUAAAAUUUGCUGUCACAAAAUGUUAGAAAUUAAUAUAAAUCAAGGAAUGUAUCUACCUUUUGCAAAGCUCUGAUUCCUUUGACAGAUUUGGCUAUACUUUUUGGACCUUUUGGAUUAUAGCUCUUCAUCUUUUAUAUAAGUUUUGGAUUUCAAAUAUAUUGGCCACGAGCAUCACUGAAGAGACAUGUAUUGUCGAAAUGGCAUCUGGAUGAAAAUUGGUACCGUUAAUAUGUUAUUAUAGUUUAAACAAGAUAUUUUAUAUAGUUUAUGAUAUAUAUCUUAUACAGUGUAUGAGAUAUAAUAUAUAUAGUGUAUGAGAAAUCUUAUAUAGUGAAUGAGAUAUCUUAUAUAGGGAAUGAGAUAUAUCUUAUAUAGUGUAUGAGAUAUCUUAUAUAGUGUAUGAGAUAUUUUAUAUAGGGAAUGAGAUAUCUUAUAUAGUGAAUGAGAUAUCUUAUAAUAGGGAAUGAGAUAUCUUAUAUAGUGUAUGAGAAGUCUUAUAUAGGGAAUGAGAUAUUUUAUAUAGUGUAUGAUAUAUCAUAUAUAGUGUAUGAGAAAUCUUAUAUAGUGAAUAAGAUAUCUUAUAAAAUGAUAUGAGCAAAUAAGCCCUAAAAGGAUAAAUCAGCAUGUGCAAUACUGAAAACAUCUCACUGUCGAUAUAAAUCAAGAUUUAAUAUUGCUCUUCGAACAGGACCAAUACGGAAAAAACAGGGCCAAUACAGAAAAAAAGCGGGGAAAAAAGCUGUAUUAGCCAUACAGGAUGUUCACUUUCGGUUUUCAAUUUUUCUUACGCCAUUACUUAACUUUCGUUAUGCAUAAAAACAUUUGUAUAAUAUUUUUUAAAUUAAAAUCAUAAAAUAAACAGGUUAAAUGAUGUGCAAGUUUGGUCGUUUAAGUUUUGAAACGGAAAAAAACAGGGCCAUAGAAAAGCGGGGAAAAAAGCCUUAUUGGCCCAUGGGCUAAUACGGGACGUUACUUCCGGUUUUUUAAUUUUAAUCAUUAAUAAAAGUGUAUGAACUGGCUGUUUCUGUAUUACACUGGUUAGAUUCUCAGUCAGCUGUAUGGCCUCGACCCUACGGGUCUCGAGGCCAAUACAGCAAACCUUGAAUCUAUACCAGUGCCAAUACAGAAACAGCCAGUUAAUAACACUAUAUUAUAUAGUGAAUGAGAUAUCUUAUAAAGGGAAUGAGAUAUUUUAUAUAGUGUAUAUAAGAUAUAUUACGUAGUUUAUAAGAAACCGCAUAUAAUUUUCUUUACAAGAUAUCAUAUAAAUUAUACGAGAUAUCUUAUAAACUAUAGGAGAUAAAGAACAUAAGAUAUCUUAAAUGAAUUUUUUUUAUAAGAUAUCUCAUAUACUCCAGAUGAUAUCUUAAUCACUUUAGAAGAUAGUUUAACAUAUUUAUUUAUAGUGGAUUGGGAAACAAGUUUUGCAACUUAUAUUAAUCCCUUUCCACUUUGCGGGUGCGAGUGCUGCCUUAUUGUAUAAACAUUAGAAAAUAAAAAAGUAUAAUAAUCUUAAUCUUAUAAAGUAUUUAGUAUCUAGGAGAGAGAUAAUAGGAAGUCAAUCUGGGAAGNNNNNNNNNNNNNNNNNNNNNNNNNAUAAGUAUAUGAGAUAUCUUUUAAGUAUAUGAGAUCUCUUUUAAAUAUAUGAGAUAUCUUUUAUAGUAUAUGAAUAUCUUUUAAGUAUAUGAGAUAUCUUUAGUAUAUGAGAUAUCUUUUAAGUAUAUGAGAUAUCCUGAGUUUAUUAGAUAGUAAACUGCUUGCCAUUUACAUAAAUAAUAUUUAUAAUUCUAGAUGACAUUUAACAUCAAUACUACAUGGGUGGUCGGCAAUAGACCAUGACCCAGUCAUAAUCUCGUUAGAUCAUGACAGAUGU
rnacentral:lncRNA from 1 species